UGACAACAACAAUUUUAUUCCAAUUUUAUUAAAAGAAAAAAAAAACAAUGUUCUCUUCUUUAGUCUGCCAUAUUGAUUUAGUUAAACAUGCACCAAUAUAUCGCAUUAUUGCUCCCUCUCUCCAUUUAUGUAUGUAUUAUUAAGAUAUAUAUAUAUAACUAUGCAAAAAGGCCUAUAACAGUUAUGAUAUUGUAUUAUGCAAUAUAUGAUACUUUACAAAAUAUGAUACUCUCUACAAGUUGACAAAAGAAAACAACUUUCAAAUUAGAGAAAUACCCUAGGAUAGCACUAAAAAAAUUUCUAUCACAAAUAUAGACUCUAAAAAUCAAAAUGACCAAAAUAUUUCAUUAAAGAGAUAAAUAUACACUUAAGGUUAACUAAUCCAAACCUUAGGGUUUAGAGCUAAGGGGUGGGGAUUUGGGUUUGAGAUUUAAAAUUUUAUAAAAUAGAAAAUACAUAUUAAAAAUUGAAAAUAAAAAUUUUAAAAAUAGUUUCAAAAAGUAUUUUCGAAUUACAAAAGGAAAAUUUGAAAAAAAAAAUUUAAAAAAAGAUUCAAAAAAAAAUUUAUAAAAAAGUUCGAAUUUGAAAACAUAUAAUCUAAAACUAUAAAAAGAAUUAUAUUUUUUUAUUUUUUAUAUAUAUAGGGUAUUAGUGUUCUUUUACCUAUUAAAUGAAACAUUUUAGUUAUUUUCCUUCUUGUGAUCUAUUUUUGUGACAAAAAACUUGAAAAUGGUCUAUUUAUGAGAACUGCCCUUCAAAUUAAGGUUAUUGAAAUAUUUUUGUUAUGAUUUUCGUGAAUUGAUGAACUUGUAAAACGUAACACAUAAUUACAAGAUUUGGAGAAGAUUGCCCAUAUUCUUAUAAAAUAUAUCGGAAAUACUGCAUUCUCUAUAUGUACUACAUAUAUUGACAUGGUUUUUGGCAGUGCAUCUUGAUUUUUUAUGUGAAAUAUAUGAAAUGGUUUGUUCUCCUAAAAUUUAAUUUGAAUAGUGUAAAAAAGGAACACUACAUAUUAUUUAGAGCAUCUCCAAAAAGAAACUCUAUUUUGAAGUUUCCAAAACUCUAUAUUUGAAGUUUAAAGGUAUUCUUCUCCAAAAGCAAAACUUCAAACUCAACUUCAAAACUAUUUAUAUUUUAUAAUAUGGUCCUUAUAUUGUAAAUAAUUAGUAGAUAUAUAAUCAUAUUACAACAAUAUUAACUAAUAAAAUAUUCUAUUAAACUAUAAAAAUUUAAAUAAAAAUAACUUAAUUAAUAUUGAACUUCAAACAAAAUACCAUAUUAUUCUAUAAAAUGAUUUUCGUAAUGCAUAUAUGAUCUAUUAGUGUAUAUCAAAAUUAAAAUGGCUCUCCUCAUUUUUACUUUGUAGAUUACGAGCUAAAAUUUGUUGAAAUCGGAUGAUAUUGAUACUUGUAAAUACAUUAGAUCGGAACAAGAAAGUAAAUGAGAAACAUAAAAUAUUACUAAGAGACUAAUUUCUUUUCAAUGAUAUUAAUACUCGUGAAUAUAUUCGAUAUGAACAAGAAAAAAUUGUACGAAAAAUACAUCAAAAACAACAACAACAACAACAACAACCAUCUUAAAUUACACAAAAAAAAUUUGGACAAUAUUUAAAUGUUCUUAGCAGAAAAAGAGACACACCAUGCUACAGAUUUGGGUGGGUUUAUUAACAAAGGCAACUAGUAGGUAAACAGGACUAGAAUUAAGAAAAUUCUACUCUAUCUUGGGUUUGAUGUUCCUUUCUGACCAUAUGCCCUAAUCGAGAAAAACAGAUACUAAAAGAUAGAAACAUUUAAUGUUAUAUGCCCUGUCAUCAGAAGAAUUUAAUACACGAAAGAUCUAACCGUACCAAUAACUUGCAUUAAAAGACACUGCCACAUUAAGGGCCGUAUUUAAUAAAAAACUCGAAGACAUUUCAGACAAAUAUAUUGCGGGUUCAGACCCGGGUUUAAGCUGACUUUUUUUUUCCAUUGUUUUAAAAAUCGUAGGCUACUAAAAUCAUUUGAUCUUAAAUAUAAUCUGUAAAAAUUGCUAAAAAAAAUUUUUUUUGCUGAAAAGCAAUAAAUGUUUAUAAAAAUCCAUGUUUAAAAAAGCUAUCUAUACGGAGUAUAUUAGUAAAAG